rnacentral:lncRNA from 1 species
GGGGCGGCCUGGGACUCGGGGGCGGGGUCAGUCAUAUAAGGCUGUGCCCAGCGCUUUUGGAAGCAGUAAGUCCAGCCCGAGGCUAAGGAGGUGUUAACCACCGAAGGGAGGUAGAAUGUUUUUCCCCACCAGAGGAGGCAGCGACCACGUCUCCUCUAUGGAGGCAUUCAAGAGCCGUCCAGCUGAAGCAGCAUCACUGUCUGAGCUCGGAAGGCACAAUCCACAUAGGUCUGCAUGGUCCACCGAGCUGCAUACCCACGGGGCCAGCGGGAGGUGGGCAGCUGCUGGGCUCUCUUCUGAAGCAGACAGGAUCUCACUCUGUUGCUGAGGCUGGAUCACAGCUCCCUGCAACCUUGAACUCUCCCUCAAGCAAUUCUCCCCACUCUGCCUUCCAAAGCACUAGCAUUAUAGGCCUAAGCCACCACUCCCAUCCACUGUAGUGUAAACUGUCUCCUUCAAUGUUUCCAAUAGUUGCGGAGCAGAUCAGAUAAGGGUUCUUCCUGUCUGUUGCUUCAAGUUUCAUUCUCUCUUUAAACAAUACAAGGUUGGCUUCCAUGGUUCCUUCUUAAAGAAUGUUGAAGGUGUGUCUUCAGAUUCAUUUAGUGUUCGUGGAACCCCAGGGAAAGCUGAUGUAAAAACCUCUUUUUUCUCCCAUAUGUCUCAAAAAGUUGUAUUUUCUGGGUCCAAGGGAUCUGCAAGCCUCCUAAAGGCAUUUCCAUUGUCACUACCACCAGGUGUGAACUGUAAUCUGGCACGUAUAGUUCCAAGAACUGUCAUAAUAGAUGCUGAAGAAACAUUGUGAAGUUAACUCGCUGUUACCAACUGUGAAGUCAUUAGCUAGAGGAAUCUUGGGCGGUCUGAAAUCUGAGAUACUGUGGAAAGAACAGAAAGAUCCUGUAUCUUUCCUAUAAUUGUUCUACUGGAAGUUGUCAUUUUACACAGGAGACAUUCUGUUUUAUUUAUUUUCUUUUGAGACAGGGUCUCACUCUGUCGCCCAGGCUGGAGUGCAGUGUUGUUACCACAGGUCACUGGUGCCUCCACUGCCUGAGGACUGCUCAAGCAAUCCUCCUGCCUCAGUCCCCUGAGGAGCUGGGGCCACAGGCCUGCACCACCAUGCCUGGCUAAUUAUUUUUAUUUGUAGAGACAAAGUCUAUCUUGCCUAGGCUGAUCUCGAACUCCUGGGCUCAAGUAAUCCUCCCGCGGUGGCUUCUCAAAGUGCUUGGGAUUACAGAUGGUCUUGCUCUGUCACCCAGUCUGGAAUGCAGUGGUGCCAUCAUAGCUCACUACAGCCUGAGCUGUACUGAGCUCGAGGGAUCUUCCCGUCUCCGCCUCCUAAGCAGCUGGGACUACAGGUAAUGGAAGUGGGCAGAGAAUGAUCCUUUCCCUAGGCUCCAGUGUGUAAGAAUUAAAGAAAGAGGAAAGAAACACAAUGGCUUGAUGGUCGAGGACAGGUUUAUUUUAAAGAAAACAAACCCAAGAGUGGCUUCUGGCUGAGUUAGAUCAGAGAAGAGAAGUGAUUUUCUUGAAAUGCAUGAGGCUGGAAAGGGAGCUGGCACUUAAAGUGGCGGUGUUUGUCCGAGAGGAUGGUGCUCCUGCUCUGUCACAGUGGGCAUGGGGAUUCAGGCCACUGCCACCGAAUUUCAAGAGCCCAAGCACAGAGCCCAGAACUAAAUUGUGAGGGUUUAAAAAAAAAAAAAGCUUUAUUGAAGUAUAAUUGACAUACAAUAAACUUGAAUAUUUAAAGUGUA